rnacentral:misc_RNA from 1 species
GAAAUGCGAUAAGUAGUGUGAAUUGCAAAAUUCAGUGAAUCAUCGAAUCUUUGAACGCACAUUGCGCCCCUUGGUAUUCCAUGGGGCAUGCCUGUUCGAGCGUCAUUUGUACCCUCAAGCUCUGCUUGGUGUUGGGUGUUUGUCCCGUCUCCGCGCGUGGACUCGCCCCAAAGUGAUUGGCAGCCGGCGUACUGGUCCCGGAGCGCAGCACAUGUCGCGCAAACGAGUGCCUUGGUACGGCGGCGUCCAUAAGCCCCUCUCUCACGCUCUUGACCUCGGAUCAGGUAGGGAUACCCGCUGAACUUAAGC